GAGGUCCCAAGCGUUGUUCGGAUUCACUGGGCGUAAAGGGUGCGUAGGUGGUAAGGCAAGUCAGGUGUGAAAUCUCCGGGCUCAACCCGGAAAUGGCAUUCGAAACUACCUUGCUAGAGGAUUUGAGGGGGGACUGGAAUACUUGGUGUAGCAGUGAAAUGCGUAGAUAUCAAGUGGAACACCAGUGGCGAAGGCGAGUCCCUGGAAAACUCCUGACACUGAGGCACGAAAGCUAGGGGAGCAAACAGGAUUAGAUACCCUGGUAGUCCUAGCCCUAAACGGUGCUUGCUUGCUGUAAGAGGAAUCGACCCCUCUUGUGGCGGAGCUAACGCGUUAAGCAAGCCGCCUGGGAAGUACGGUCGCAAGAUUA
rnacentral:rRNA from 1 species